rnacentral:lncRNA from 1 species
GGAAUCCACCGUCCCUCUGUGCCGCCUCUAAUCUCCGCCCGGGCGGGCGCAGAGCGAGUGCACGUCACUGCGUGUGCGUGAGCGUGAGCGCCCGUCAACGCGAGAAGGGAUCGGGUUUAGGCUCUGCGUCCUUUUAGGGAAGUCUCGCUGGGAAACAAAGCUCCGAGCUUUGAGUUUCGGAACGCCUUCUCCUUCCAGACCUCCCUGCCUCACGCCGCCGUCUCUGUUUUCCAGUCUGGCUGCAGCCACGGACCACAGCCUGCACGGCCGGGCCAACUCCCCACGUGCCGCGCACUUGGGUCUCCCAGAGCGUCUCCCCUCGGGCACCCGUCUGAGCGCAGGAGCCAAGUGUCACGUCUGUGGUCCCUGCAACAACUGAAUCCCGCAGGUGGCUGUGACAAAGGGAGUCGGGGCAGCGUUGCGCUGCAUUCCAGUUUCCCUGCGCCCCUCGCAGCCGUCUGGGCGGAGCAGGAGAGAAGGCAGGUCGCUUUGUGGGGAGGUGCUCUGGGGAGCAUGAUGACAGGGCUCUAGGGAGCACGGUGAUGGGGGG